rnacentral:tRNA from 1 species
GAGGGUAUAGCUCAGUUGUAGAGCAUAUGCUUAACAUGCACAGGGUCCUGGGUUCAAUCCCCCGGUACCUCCA